AGACUCAAAUUAUAUUUUCGUCUUUUUCUGCUGUAGCUUCAUUUAGCCCCCGUUACACUCAACCGGAAGUCACUUGUUACCUUCCGGUUCAAUUAAUCCAAACGUAUUUAUCGAUAUAUUUGAGCAUAGCACCUUAAAUGUUGGGAGUUUAAGCACGUCAGACAUUAUCAGACUCCCACAGCGUUAGGAACCAGAACCAGAACCGGGCCAACUCUUUGCUGAUUGUUUUGGUGUCAUUCUAAACAUUCACAUUGAAAAGGAGUUCGAGGACGUUCACACCAGAUGAACCAGCGUUUCCCUCGACCUUCCUGUAUUUCUGCUGGAGGAGGUUUCAGAACCUGGACAGCUCUUCAUGGAGUCAGUGACUUAAAACUGUCAGACAGGAGGGACAGCGGACAUGUUGGACAGAGGAUGAAGAUGAAGCCUGCCAGGUUCUGAGGAAGAGGAGGGAAGCUGCAGACUGGAGAAAUUUAUGUCUCAUUAAAAAUAGACAGAAAACAUCCCAGAUCUUCGUGAUGGCCGACAAGAUUCACUUGUUUCCACCUCUGCAGAACCUCAUCAGAACUAGCUCUCCUACCGGUUCUGGACCAGUUCUUCUCCAGUUCUGGUCCGAUUCUGCUGAAGUUCUGGUCCGGCCCGCCGCCCACAGAGCCUCCAUCAGCAAAAGUCUACAGAUCAGCAACUGGAGGUUGCCGGGCAGGCAGCCCGACCCGACCCGGCUCGCUUUCCGAACUUUUCUACCGGCUUCUUUUCGGAGCAGGCCCAGCCCAGCCAGUGACGCAAGCUUCGCUCCAGGUCACUGAUUGGCUGAGGGCGCGGUCAGACGGAGCAGCAAAGAGAAGAAAAACGAGGCGCAACGUUUCAACUCGCUGCAACACGGAAGUGAUGAAGAUACAAACACCGACCCAGAUGCAGCUAACGCCGCCGCCGCUGCUCUCCAGCCAGAGAACAGAAGAGGAGGAACAUGGCUGACAUGAUGGAGAACGAUGAGGAGAACCGUCAGAACAACAACUGGAUCUCCUUCAGGAGGAAGCAGCUACCAGCAGAGAUGGCAGAGCUCCACGAAGAGCCGAGGCAAAGAAAAGAAGAAAAUAAAUGCUGUUUUCUCUCAGUAAACAAA